GCGCACGCACGAUACGUGAUUCUCCCCGAGUAGAGGCCCUAAAAAAUUGUUGAAAGCUACUCAAAAGAAGGGGAGGCAAGUCGUAACAUGGUAAGUGUACCG
rnacentral:rRNA from 1 species